UCCCUGGUAGUCCUGUGGAUAGGACUUGGCGCUUUCACUGUUGUGGUCUGGGUUCAAUUCCUGGUUGGAGAA
rnacentral:tRNA from 1 species